rnacentral:lncRNA from 1 species
AAAAGAGUCAAAAGACCAGACUAACAUUAGCUCCGAAAUACCAAAGGAGAGUAUAGGCAUAAUGACCUCAUAAAAGCAAAAGAAAAUUAAGAUUAGAUGUCGUUACCCCCAUUAAUUCCAUGUCGAGCACAAGAAUUAACAUUAAAUUUUGCAAUUGUAAGCUCUAAAGGUGUAAUGCAUGUUGGUCCACUCCACUCUCAUUUUUGACAGGGCAGGUCAAGGUUUUAG